GGAAAGUCCGUUGCUCUGUUUUUUAACUGACCGGAUGAAAGUGCAAGCAAUAGGCCUUCUUGGUCUCACAACAGUUAUGUAAACGUUGGACAAAGGGAAAAGUCCAUUGUUUAGUAUUUGAAUGGACCAGAUGAAAGUGAAUCUAGAUUAAAAAGAGAAAACCGCAUCACAUUGCAAGAUCGAAGAUAAAACCGCAUCACAAAGUGAUCUAGAUCCAAGAUGAUAAUAGAAUGUUACUAGUACUACCACUAAUUCUUGUUCUUGUUCUUCUACCACUAAUUAUUCUUCUACUUCGACCCCCAAUUCUUCUUC
rnacentral:lncRNA from 1 species